AUAUAGGAUAUUAAAGGAAAAUAUGAAUUCUGAAUAUGAACAGGAGUUCAUUGCUACUUUCUAAAAUUUGAAACAUCACUUCCUUUUCAUGCAAAUCCUUAUCAAGUGACUACUAAGGGCUAUUUACAAUCCUAAGAGACAAGGACAAGUGAUACAGCCUUUGUACUCAUGGAACACAGAGCGAUGGAAGGGAAGUUAUUAUGACAUACUAUGAUUUAGCUGUGUGCUAAGUAGUUAGCCUAGCGGUGUGAGCUAUAGAACCACAGAGGAGCAGGAGAUAACCCAAACUAGGAUAUGGGAAAGGGUUAUCAAAGGACAACACCUCUGAAAUGAGUCUUAAAGAUGAGUAAGUUGGCCCUGAAAAAGGGAGGAAGUACAGUCUUCAAAGAGGAUGCGGAGCAGAUGCACAGGGAAGAGGAAACCACAGGAUGGGAGAUUCUCUGUAUAUAUGUGUACAAGGUGCUAGAUCUCCAACAUGUUUGCUCUGUGGAUCACAACUAUGAAGCACCGUAACUGAGCUGUUUGGGGUCCUCACUGGGAGAAGGGAGAAUCAGCAGGUGAGCAAGCUGAGCUUCAGCCUCGGGGCAGAGGAGCAAGGAACACCUGCUUGUUCCCCAAUGCCAAAAGGGGCCAAGCAAAGCAGCCCCAGCAGCUGCCAGGAGCAACUCUCAUGACAUAACAACAUCUUUCACCAAAUCUGAGAUGUCACUGACCACAAGGUGUACAUUACUUUAUGCACCACUGAGAAAGCAGAAGCAUCCAAGAUGGAGAGUUGAACAGGGAAGCCCCACCUGAAGCUGAGGAACCAAAGGCCACAAAGAAAUAAGCCUGCCAGGCAGAAAGGGAUGGCAAAGAGAUGUGCAUGUUUCAACCUGGGCACUGGGCAAACGGAGGGAGGAAUCUUCCCUGAAGAGUUGAACCAUAAGCCACAACUCACUCGGGUAGGUUUGCAUUCUGAAUCCCCACCACUGGUUGGUCUAAAAACCCCCAGGCAGAGAAUCUAAACUUCUGUCUUAGUUUGGCAGUGCCCCUGGUGACUAGCAGAGGCAAACUCUCUGGAAGAAAGGGACUGCCAUGGCAGCUCUAAGCUGCAUCCUGAUUUCAGAUAUGUUAAUGCAUAAAAAUAUGUACACCUGGGAAUAGAAAUACAGGAACCCUCGCGCACUAUGAGGCCAACCUGGGAGUUGCCUGGGGUCUGGAGCUAAGCAUAUCAAAAUCAAGAAGAGAGCAAGACAGAAACCAAAGUCAAAAAUGCAAGAUAGGGUCCAACAGGUGACCCACUGAAGGAAACGAAACGAAAGCAACGGGAGACGGGUAGAGUCACUAGGGACUGCACCCAGGAGCAGGUCAGGGACAAGCAGGCUAGGCCUGGGCUACAGCUCUGUCCACUCAUCUUCUGACCUUAAGAACCAGGAGAGACGCUCUCCCAGCUUCAACUCCUCAUCAAUAAAAUGCAGAAAAUACCUUCUCCAGGAUUACUGAGGAAAUGAAAAAGCAAUCUUAAAAGCAUUUUACAUUCUAUAAAAGCACCAUGCCAAUAAAAUGAUACUUAUUCUUGAUUUAAA